GAUGAAGAACGCAGCGAAAUGCGAUAAGUAAUGUGAAUUGCAGAAUUCAGUGAGUCAUCGAAUCUUUGAACGCACAUUGCGCCCCCUGGCAUUCCGGGGGGCAUGCCUGUCCGAGCGUCAUUUCUGCCCUCCAGCCCGGCUGGGUGUUGGGCGCUGUCCCCCCGGGGACACGCCCCAAAGGCAGUGGCGGCGCCGCGUCGGGUCCUCGAGCGUAUGGGGCUUUGUCACCCGCUCGGGACGGACUCGUCGGCGCUGGUCUUCCUCCAGGCGACCCUUCGGGGCUCGUCUUCCUUCGGUUGACCUCGGAUCAGGUAGGGUUACCCGCUGAACUUAAGCAUAUCAAUAAGCGGAGGA
rnacentral:misc_RNA from 1 species